UUUAAAUAUUGGUUUCCUUUUUUUGGUUGAUUCACGCAGCGGAGAUUUUCAGCCCUGUCCAAGGUGCUGCAUGGAUAAACAUACACAAAUCGUCACGCAUUUAUAACUUAACUAACAUCUCCAAAAGCUGUAGAGAAACUAAUGAAUAAAAUUGCACACAAAUCCAAUAAAGCAUUAGAGAUCCCACUGAGAAUGUUCCAUCAUAUUCCUAUUCUGACCUUAGCCAUAGUUUGUUCAUCUAAAAAUGGUUUCAGUAUAGGACCUCGUUGGGAAAUUUCCAACAUGAUCCACAUGAGACGAGUGAUAAAAAAACUGGAG
rnacentral:lncRNA from 1 species